AUUGAACGCUGGCGGCAGGCUUAACACAUGCAAGUCGAACGAGUGGCGGACGGGUGAGUAAUGCUUGGGAAUCUAGCUUAUGGAGGGGGAUAACUACGGGAAACUGUAGCUAAUACCGCGUACCAUAGGAUGAGCCCAAAUGGGUUUAGGUAGUUGGUGAGGUAAAGGCUCACCAAGCCGACGAUCUCUAGCUGGUCUGAGAGGAUGACCAGCCACACGUGAACUGAAACAGGGUGCAGAGUCCUAGGGGAGGCAGCAGUGGGGAAUAUUGCACAAUGGGGGCAAGCCUGAUACAGACAAGCCGAGUGUAUGAAGAAGGCCUUCGGGUUGUAAAGUACUUUCGGAGGGGAGGCGUUAACUGCAGAAGAAGCACCGGCUAACUCCGUGCCAGCAGCCGCGGUCAUAC
rnacentral:rRNA from 1 species